GCCUUCGGGCAUUAGUCAAUUUGAAACGAUACAGAGAAGAUUAGCAUGGCCCCUGCACUAAGGAUGACACGCUACAACAAAGAGAAGCAAACCAUUUUU
rnacentral:snRNA from 1 species